UCCUGGUGCUUUGACCCACGAGCCGUGUAACUCUGGGGAAGCUAAUUAAUACUCUGAGCUUCAGUUUCAGUUCUCUAAUCUUUAACUGAGGAUUAAAUGAGAGAAAGCGUGGUGCUUAGCCCGGAGCCUGCCCUGUAGAAACCACUCAGUGAGCAGGUGCCAGAGACAGUGCUACUGCUACCGUCCUCAUAGUUAAGGUCCUCAGACUUCGUGCCCCUUUUGGUUGCAGGGAGAAAUUGUGCUUUGCUGAUUACCUGAAGAGAGGACUAGCAAAGGAAAGUAGUGCCAAAUUGGCAGGUCCAAUAUCGACAGUUUCCACUGAGUUCCCAAAGGCAAUUUCACUUAUCCUGGGGAAAAGAUGUGGCACCCACAUUGGAAAAAAUAAAGCACUUGAGGCAGCAAGAAAAGGCAACCAAUUAAUCAGAAUUCAAAUUCUGUGCUUCUCAGGGGACGUAAAUCUCUGGACUGUCUAUGUGCCAGCUGGGCCCUGAGCCUCAGCAGAGUUGCAACACUUACUCUCCGGUUCUUUGGACUUACCUGGGUCAGCGAACAGGGAGAUGAGGAUGGUUAACCACUACACCAGGGAACUGAGUCUACAGCUGCAAGCAGGAGAAUUCCAUCCAUCAGCCAUGUGGGACCGAAGCCCCCUCCUGAUUUAGAGGUGGAGUGGACAUCGCCAUCCCAGAGUCCUCAGGAUGGAGGAAUAAAUAUGGAUUAGAGUGGACUUACUGGUAUUCUACUAUAGAACUGUUGUGACUCUAGCAGUGGAAGAAAUUGUAUCAUUGAUGUGGAGCCAGUGGCUACAGGAGUUGCUGCAGGCAGGGA
rnacentral:lncRNA from 1 species